rnacentral:rRNA from 1 species
GUGAGGAAUAUUGGUCAAUGGGCGAGAGCCUGAACCAGCCAAGUAGCGUGCAGGAAGACGGCCCUAUGGGUUGUAAACUGCUUUUAUAGGGGAAUAAAGUGAGCCACGUGUGGUUUUUUGCAUGUACCCUAUGAAUAAGGACCGGCUAAUUCCGUGCCAGCAGCCGCGGUAAUACGGAAGGUCCGGGCGUUAUCCGGAUUUAUUGGGUUUAAAGGGAGCGUAGGCCGGAGAUUAAGCGUGUUGUGAAAUGUAGACGCUCAACGUCUGCACUGCAGCGCGAACUGGUUUCCUUGAGUACGCAUAAAGUGGGCGGAAUUCGUGGUGUAGCGGUGAAAUGCUUAGAUAUCACGAAGAACUCCGAUUGCGAAGGCAGCUCACUGGGGCGCAACUGACGCUGAAGCUCGAAAGCGCGGGUAUCGAACAGGAUUAGAUACCCCAGUAGUCC